rnacentral:lncRNA from 1 species
UAUUCUCUCAAAUUUUGCAUUGUUCUUCAUAUUUAUCUUUUCGUGUUAUAUGUUUACUGUAUGUGUGUACUAGAUAAUUAAUUUUAUAUCCGUUAAUUUCUUUGUUAGUUUUUUAUCUUGAUGUUGCAUUGUCUAUUCUUCAUUUCUUUAGUUUCGUAUCCGUAUAAUUUUAUUUCCUUUCUACAAUAUUGUGCCAUAAGAGUUAAUUUUCUUAAUCUCGUUUUUACAUUUGAUCUGUACUCCUUUUGCUACCCUUCUAUAAGCGUAAGGGUAUAACUUUCAGGUUUCCCUAGGAAAAUAGAAGUUUAUUUGGAAAUACUUGUCAUGUAAGUUUCCUCUGCAUCCCUUAUUCUUCUCCAUUUAGUAUUGUUGUUCAUUCUUCUCUUUUAUGUUUAAGUGCUAUUUGUUGACCGCAUGUAUGUAGUAGAGAAUUAAUUUUCAAUCCUUUCAUUUCUUUGUUUUUUGUAAGAGCUUGAUGUUGUGUUUUCUAUUCCUCAUUUCUUUAGUUUUGUAUCAUAAUAAUUUGAUUUACUUUCAAGGACAUUGUGGUUUUCACAUUUGAUCUAUACACCUUUCUCUACCUUUCUUUAAGCAUAAAGGUAGAAUUUUCAGGUUUCCCGUGGUAAAGAGAAGUUUAUUGCGAAUUAGUUCUUGGAUAAGUUUNNNNNNNNNNNNNNNNNNNNNNNNNNNNNNNNNNNNNNNNNNNNNNNNNNNNNNNNNNNNNNNNNNNNNNNNNNNNNNNNNNNNNNNNNNNNNNNNNNNNAAAUGUUAGAACCACAAUGUCNCUUGAGAGUAAAUAAAAUUAUUCGGAUACGAAACUAAAGAUAUGAGCAAUAGAAAACACAACAUCAAGCCUUAAAAAAAAAAAACAAAGAAAUCAAAGGAUUGAAAAUUAAUUCUCUACUACAUACAUGAGGUCAACAAAUAACACUCAAACAUAAAAGACAAGAAUAAAGAACAAUGCGAAAUGGAAGAGAAUAGGGGAUACGAAGGAAACUUACCUGACAAGGAUUUCCAAAUAAGCUUCUCUUCUCCUCGGGACACUUGAAAAUUCUACCCUUACGCUUAUAGAAAGUAGAGAAAAGAGUAGAGAUCAAAUGUAAAAACGAGAGUAAGAAAAUUAACUCUCAAGAGACAAUAUCGUUGAAAUGAAAUUAAAUUAUGCUGAUACGAAACUAAAAAAAUGAGGAAUAGAUAACGCAACAUCAAGAUAAAAAAAAAAACAAAGAAAUUAACGGAUUCAAAAAUAAUUUUCUAAUACACACAUACAAUAGACGUAUAACACAAAACCAUAAAAGAUAACAAUGAAAAACAAUGCAAAAUGUGAGAGAAUAAGGAAUACGGAGGAAACUUAUCCAAUAACCAAUUCCCAAUAAACUUUUGUUCACCACGGGAAACCUUAAAAUUCUACCUUUACGCUUAAAGCAAGGUAGAGAAAGGAGUAGAUAUCAAAUGUUAAAACCACAAUGUCCUUGAAAGUAAAUCAAAUUAUUCUGAUACGAAACUAAAGAAAUGAGGAAUAGAAAACACAAGAUCAAGCUUUAAAAAAAAAAACAAAGAAAUCAAAGAAUUGAAAAUUAAUUUUCUGCUACACACAUGCGGUCAACAAAUAACACUCAAACAUAAAAGACAAGAAUCAAGAACAAUGCGAAGUGGAAGAGAAUAGUGGAUACGAAGGAAACUUACCUGACAAGGAUAUCCAAAUAAGCUUCUCUUCUCCUCGGGACACUUGAAAAUUCUACCCCUACGCUUAUAGAAAGUAGAGAAAAGAGUAGAGAUCAAAUGUAAAAACGAGAGUAAGAAAAUUAACUCUCAAGAGACAAUAUCGUUGAAAUUAAAUUAAAUUAUGUUGAUACGAAACUAAAAAAAUGAGGAAUAGAUAACGCAACAUCAAGAUAAAAAAAAAAAACAAAGAAAUUAACGGAUUCAAAAAUAAUUUUCUAAUACACACAUACAGUAGACGUAUAACACAAAACUAUAAAAGGUAACAAUGAAAAACAAUGCAAAAUGUGAGAGAAUAGGGAAUACGGAGGAAACUUAUCCAAUAACCAAUUCCCAAUAAACUUUUGUUCACCACGGGAAACCUUAAAAUUCUACCCUUACGCUUAAAGCAAGGUAGAGAAAUGAGUAGAUAUCAAAUGUUAAAACCACAAUGUCCUUGAAAGUAAAUCAAAUUAUUCUGAUACGAAACUAAAGAAAUGAGGAAUAGAAAACACAAGAUCAAGCUUUGAAAAAAAAAACAAAGAAAUCAAAGGAUUGAAAAUUAAUUUUCUGCUACACACAUGCGGUCAACAAAUAACACUCAAACAUAAAAGAGAAGAAUGAAAAAUAAUGCGAAAUGGAGGAAAAUAGGGGAUAAGGAGGAAACUUACCUGACAAGUAUUUCCCCAUAAACAUCUUUUUUCCUCGAGAAACCUAAAAAUUCUACCCUUACGCUUAUAGAAGGUAGCGAAAGGAGUAGAGAUCAAAUGUAAAAAUGAGAAUAAGAAAAUUAACUCUUAAGGCUCAAUAUUGUUAAAAGGAAAUCAAAUUCUGCUGACACGAAACUAAAGAAAUGAGGAAUAGACAACGCAACAUCAAGAUAAAAAACAAACAAAGAAAUUAAUGGAUUCAAAAUUAAUUUUCUAGAACACACGUAUAGUAGACAUAUAACACGAAAACAUAAAAGAUAAAUAAGAAGAACAACGCAAAAUUUGAGAGAAUAGGGAAUAUGGAGAAAACUUAUUGAAGAACUAAUUCCCAAUAAACUUCUCUUGACCAGGGGAAACCUGAAAAUUCUACCCUUACGCUUAAAGCAAGGUAGAGAAAGGAGUAGAGAUCAAAUUUUAAAACCACAAUGUACUUGAAAGUAAAUAAAAUUAUUUUGAUAAGAAACUAAAGAAAUGAGAAAUAGAAAACACAACAUAGAGCAAUAAAAAAAAACAAUGAAAUCAAAGGAUUGAAAAUUCAUUAUCCACUAGAUACACGCAGUGAACAAAUAACACUCAAACAUAAAAAAAAAAAGAAUGAAGAACAAUGCGAAAUGGUGGAGAAUAGGGGAUACAGAGAAAACUUACCUGACAAAUAUUUCCAAACAAACCACUCUUUUCCUCGGGAAACCUAAAAAAUUCUACACUUAUGCUUAUAGAAUGUAGCGAAAUGAGUAGAUAUCAAAAGUAAAAACGAGAAUAAGAAAAUUAAUUCUUAAGGCGCAAUAUCGUUGAAAGGAAAUCAAAUUAUGCAAAUACAAAACUAAAGAAAUGAGGAAUAGACAACGCAAGAUCAAGAUAAAAAACAACCAAAGAAAUUAACGGAUUCAAAAUUAAUUUUCUAGUACACAGAUACAGUAGACAUAUAACAUGAAAACAUACAAGAUAAAUAUGAAGAACAUUGCAAAAUUUGAGAGAAUAGGGAAUACGGAGGAAACUUAUCCAAGAACUAAUUCUCAAUAAACUUUCCUUCACAACGGGAAACCUGAAAAUUCUACCCUUUCGCUUAAAGCAAGGUACAGAAAGGAUUAGAGAUCAAAUGUUAAAACCACAAUGUCCUUGAAAGUAAAUAAAAUUAUUUUGAUAAGAAACUAAAGAAAUGAGCAAUAGAAAACACAACAUAGAGCUCUAAAAAAAACAAUGAAAUCAAAGGAUUGAAAAUUCAUUCUCUACUACAUACACGUAGUCAACAAAUAACACUCAAACAAAAUAGAGACGAAUGAAGAACAAUGCGAAAUGGAGGAGAAUAGGUGAUACAAACAAACUACUCUUUUCCUCGGGAAACCUGAAAAUUCUACUUUCACGCUUACCUGACAAGUAUGUGUGUACUAGAAAAUUAAUUUUGAAUCCGUUAAUUUCUUUGUUUGUUUUUUAUCUUGACCUUGCAUUGUUUAUUCCUCAUUUCUUUAGUUUUGUAUCUACAUAAUUUGAUUUGCUUUCAACGAUAUUGUGCCUUAAGAGUUCAUUUUCUUAUUCUCGUUUUUACUUUUGAUCUGUACUCCUUUCGCUACAUUCGAUAAGCGUAAGGGUAAAAUUUUCAGGUUUCUCGAGGAAAAGAGAAGUUUGUUUGGAAAUACUUGUCAGGUAAGUUUUCUCUGUAUCCCCUAUUCUCCUCCAUUUCGCAUUGUUCUUCAUUCUUCUCUUUUAUGUUUAAGUGUUAUUUGUUGAAUUCGUGUAUGUAGUAGAGAAUGAAUUUUUAACCUUUUGAUUUCAUUGGGUUUUUUUUUUAUAGCUCUAUGUUGUGUUUUCUAUUACUCAUUUCUUGACUUCCUUAUCAAAGUAAUUUUAUUUACUUUCAAGUACAUUGUGCUUUGAAAAUUUGAUCUCUACUCCUUUCUCUACCUUGCUUUAAGCGUAAGCGUAGAAUUUUUCAGGCUUCCCGUGGUCAAGAGAGUUUUAAUGGGAAUUAAUUAUUCAAUAAGUUUCCUCCAUAUUCCCUAUUCUCUCAAAUUUUGCACUGUUCUUCAUAUUAAUCUUUUAUGUUUUCGGGUUAUAUGCCUACUGUAUGUGUGUACUAGAAAAUUAAUUUUGAAUCCACUUAUUUCUUUGCUUGUUUUUUAUCUUGAUGUUGCGUUGUCUAUUCCUCAUUUCUUUAGUUUUGUAGCUGCAUAAUUUGAUUUGCUUUCAACGAUAUUGUGCCUUAAGAGUUCAUUUUCUUAUUCUCGUUUUUACAUUUGCCAGGUAAGUUUUCUUUGUAUCCCCUAUUCUCGUUCAUUUCGCAUUGUUCUUCAUUCUUCUCUAUUAUGUUUUAGUGUUAUUUUUUUAAAUUCGUGUAUGUAGCAGAGAAUGAAUUUUCAAUCUUUUGAUUUCAUUGUUUUUUUUUAUAGCUCUAUGUUGUGUUUUCUAUUACUCAUUUCUUUACUUUUUUAUCAAAAUAAUUUUAUUUUCUUUGAAGUACAUUGUGGUUUUACAAUUUGAUUUCUACUCCUUUCUCUACCUUGCUUUAAGAGUAAGGGUAGAAUUUUCAAGUUUCCCGUGGUCAAGAGAAGUUUAUUAGGAAUUAGCUAUUCAAUAAGUUUCCUCUAUAUUCCCUAUUCCCUCAAAUUUUGCACGGUUCUUCGUAUUUAUCUUUUAUGUUUUCAUGUUAUAUGCCUACUGUAUGUGUGUAUUAGUAAAUUAAUUUUCAAUCCGUUAAUUUCUUUGCUUGUUUUUUUAUCUUGAUGUUGCGUUGUCCAUUCCUCAUUUCCUUAGUUUCGUAUAUGCAUAAUUUGAUUUCCUUUCAACGAUAUUGUGCCUUAAGUUUUAUAUUUCUUAGUCUCGUUUUUACAUUUGAUUUCUACUCCUUUCGCUACCUUUUAUAAGCGUAAGAGCAAAAUUUUCAGGUUUCCCAAGGAAAAGAGAAGCUUAUUUGGAAAUACUAGUCAUGUAAGUUUCCUCCGUAUCCCUUAUUCUCUUCUAUUUCGCAUUGUUCUUUAUUCUUCUCUUUUAUGUUUGAGUGUUAUUUGUUGACCGCAUGUAUGUAGUAGAGAAUUAAUUUUCAAUCCUUUGAUUUCUUUGUUUGUUUUUAAAAGCUUGAUGUUUUGUUUUCUAUUGCUCAUAUCUUUAGUUUCGUAUUCGAAUAAUUUUAUUUACUCUCAAGGACAUUGUGGUUUUAACAUUUGAUCUCUUCUCCUUUCUCUACCUUGCUUUAAGCAUAAGGGUAGAAUUUUCAAGCUUCCCGUGGUCAAGAGAAGUUUAUUGGGAAUUAGUUAUUCGAUAAGUUUCCUCCAUAUUCCCUAUUCUCUCAAAUUUUGCACUGUUCUUCAUAUUAAUCUUUUAUGUUUUCAUGUUAUAUGCCUACUGUAUGUGUGUAUUAGAAAAUUAAUUUUCAAUCCGUUAAUUUCUUUGCUUGUUUUUUUAUCUUGAUGUUGCGUUGUCUAUUCCUCAUUUUUAUAGUUUCGUAUAUGCAUAAUUUGAUUUCCUUUCAACGAUAUUGUGCCUUAAGUUUUAUAUUUCUUAGUCUCGUUUUUACAUUUGAUUUUCACUCCUUUCGCUACCUUCUAUAAGCGUAAAGGUAGAAUUUUCAGGUUUCCCGAGGAAAAAAGAAGCUUAUUUGGAAAUACUUGUCAGGUAAGUUUCCUCCAUAUCCCCUAUUCUUUUCCAUUUCGCAUUGUUCUUUAUUCUUCUCUUUUAUGUUUGAUUGUUAUUUGUUGACCGCAUGUAUGUAGUAGAGAAUUAAUUUUCAAUCCUUUGAUUUCUUUGUUUGUUUUUAAAAGCUUGAUGUUGUGUUUUCUAUUGCUCAUAUCUUUAGUUUCGUAUUCGAAUAAUUUUUCUACUCUCAAGGACAUUGUGGUUUUAACAUUUGAUCUCUACUCCUUUCUCUACCUUGCUUUAAGCAUAAGGGUAGAAUUUUUCAGGUUUCCAAUGGUAAAGAGAAGUUUAUUGGGAAUUAGUUCUUGGAUAAGUUUCCUCCGUAUUCCCUAUUCUCUCAAAUUUUGCACUGUNNNNNNNNNNNNNNNNNNNNNNNNNNNNNNNNNNNNNNNNNNNNNNNNNNNNNNNNNNNNNNNNNNNNNNNNNNNNNNNNNNNNNNNNNNNNNNNNNNNNGUAUUUCCACACUAUACUUCUCAUUUCCUCUGGAAUCUGUAUAUUUCUACUUUCGCGCUUACCAGACUAAGUACGUGUGUCAUCGAAAAUUAAUUCUGAAUCCGUUAAUUUCUUUGUUUGUUUUUUAUCUCGAUCUUACGUUGUCUAUUCCUCAUUUCUUUAGUUUAUACCUGCAUAAUUUGAUUUUCUUUCAAUGAUAUUGCGCCUUGAGAGUUAAUUUUCUUAUUCUCAAUUUUACAUUUGAUCUCUACUCCUUUCGCUACAUUCUAUAAGCGUAAGGGUAGAAUUUUCAAGUUUCCCGAGGAAAAGAGAAGUUUGUUUGAAAAUACUUGUCAGGUAAGUUUUCUCCGCAUCCCCUAUUCUCCUCCAUUUUGCAUUGUUCUUCAUUCUUCUCUUUUAUAUUUGAGUGUUAUUUGUUCACUGCCUGUAUGUUGUACAGAAUGAAUUUUCAAUCCUUUGAUUUCAUUGCUUUUUUUUAGAGCUCUAUGUUGUGUUUUCUAUUAUUCAUUUCUUUAGUUUUGUAUCAAAAUAAUUUUAUUUACUCUCAAGGACAUUGUGGUUUUAACAUUUGAUCUCUUCUCAUUUCUCUAUCUUGCUUUAAGCGUAAGGGUAGAAUUUUCAGGUUUCCCGUGGUCAUGAGAAGUUUAUUUCGAGUUAGUUCUUCAGUAAGUUUCCUCUAUAUUCCCUAUUCUCUCAAAAAUUUUGCACUGUUUCUCCUAUUUAUCUUUUCGUGUUAUAUGUCUACUGUAUGUGUGUACUAGAAAAUUAAUUCUGAAUCCGUUAAUUUCUUUGUCUAUUUUUUUUCUUGAUGUUGCGUUUUCUAUUCCUCAUUUCUUUAGUUUCGUAUAUGCAUAAUUUGAUUUCCUUUCAAGGAUAUUGCGCAAUAGUUAAUUUUCUUAUUCUCGUUUUUACAUUUGAUCUCUACUCCUUUCGCUACAUUCUCUAAGCGUAAGGGUAGAAUUUAAAGGUUUCCCAAGGAAAAGAGAAGUGUUUUUGGAAAUACUUGUCAGGUAAGUUUUCUCCGUAUCCCUUAUUCCCCACCACUUCGCAUUGUUCUUCAUUCUUCUCUUUUAUGUUUGAGUGUUAUUUGUUCACUGCGUGUAUCUAGUAGAGAAUUAAUUUUCAAUCCUUUGAUUUCAAUUUUUUUUUUUUUAUACCUCUAUGUUGUGUUUUCUAUUACUCAUUUCUUUAGUUUCGUAUCAAAAUAAUUUUAGUUACUUUCAAGUACAUUGUGGUUUUAAAAUUUGAUCUCUACUCCUUUCUCUACCUUGCUUUAAGCGUAAGGGUAGAAUUUUCAGGUUUCCCCUGGUCAAGAGAAGUUUAUAAGGAAUUAGUUCUUCGAUAAGUUUCCUCCAUAUUCACUAUUCUCUCAAAUUUUGCUUUGUUCUUCUUAUUUCUCUUUUAUGUUUUCGUGUUAUAUGUCUACUGUAUGUGCGUACUAUAUAAUUAAUUUUAUAUCCGUUAAUUUCAUUGUUUGUUUUUUAUCUUGAUGUUGUGUUGUCUAUUCCUCAUUUCUUUAAUUUGGUAUCCAUAUAAUUUUAUUUCCUUUCUACAAUAUUGUGCCAUAAGAGUUAAUUUUCUUAAUCUCGAUUUUACAUUUGAUCUCUACUCCUUUCGCUACCUUCUAUAAGCGUAAGGGUAGAAUUUUCAGGUUGCUCGAGGAAAAGAGAAGUUUAUGGGAAAAUACUUGUCAGGUAAGUUUCCUCCGUAUCCCCUAUUCUCCUCCAUUUGGAAUUGUUGUUCAUUAUUCUCUUUUAUGUUUGAGUGUUAUUUGUUGACCACAUGUAUGUAGUAGAUAAUUAAUUUUCAAUCCUUUGAUUACUUUGGCUUUUUUUAAAAGCUUGAUCUUGUGUUUUCUAUUCCUCAUUUCUUUAGUUUCUUAUCAAAAUAAUUUUAUUUACUUUCAAGGACAUUGUGGUUUUAACAUUUGAUCUCUACCCCUUUCUCUACUUUGCUCUAAGCACAAUGGUAGAAUUUUCAAGUUUUCGGUGGUGAAGAGAAGUUUAUUGGGAAUUAGUUCUCGGAUAAGUUUUCCCCAAAUUCCCUACUCUCUCAAAUAUUGUAUUGUUCUUCAUUUUUAUCUUGUAUGUUUUCAUGUUAUAUUUCUACUAUAUGUAUGUACUAGAUAAUUAAUUUUAUAUCCGUUAAUUUCUUUGUUUGUUUUUUAUCUUGAUGUUGCAUUCUGUAUUCCCCAUUUCUUUAGUUUCGUAUCCAUAUAAUUUUAUUUCCUUUCUACAAUAUUGUGCCAUAAGAGUUAAUUUUCUUAAUCUCGUUUUUAUAUUUAAUCUCUACUCCUUUCGCUACCUUCUAUAAGCGUACGGGUAGAACUUUCAGGUUUCCCUUUGAAAAUAGAAGUUUAUUUGAAAAUACUUGUCAUGUAAGUUUCCUCUGUAUCCCAUAUUCUCCUCCAUUUGGCAUUGUUGUUCAUUCUUCUCUUUUAUGUUAAAGUGCUAUUUGUUGACCGCAUGUAUGUAGUAGAGAAUUAAUUUUCACUCUUUUGAUUUUUUUUUUUUUUUAAGAGCUUGAUCUUGUGUUUUCUAUUCCUCAUUUCUUUAGUUUCGUAUCAGAAUAAUUUGAUUUACUUUAAAGGACAUUAUGGUUUUCACAUUUGAUCUGUACACCUUUCUCUACCUUUCCCAAUAAACUUCCCUUGACCUCAGGAAACCUGAAAAUUCUACCCUUAUGCUUAAAUCAAGGUAGAGAAAGGAGAAGAGAUCAAAUGUUAAAACCACAAUGUCCUAAAGAGUAAAUAAAAUUAUUCGGAUAUGAAACUAAAGAUAUGAGCAAUAGAAAACACAACAUCAAGCUUUUAAAAACAAACAAAUAUAUCAAAGGAUUGAAAAUAAACUCUCUACUACAUACAUGCGGUAAAAAAAUAACACUCAAACAUAAAAAGAGAAGAAUAGAGAACAAUGCGAAAUGGUAAAGAAUAAGGGAUACGGAGGAAACUUACCUGACAAGUAUUUCCAAAUGAGCUUCUCUUUUCCUCGAGACACUUGAAAAUUUUACUCUUAUGCUUAUAGAAAGUAGCGAAAGGAGUAGAGAUCAAAUGUAAAAACGAGAAUAAGAAAAUUAACUCUCAAGACACAAUAUCGUUGACAUGAAAUUAAAUUAUGCUGUUACGAAACUAAAAAAAUGAGAAUAGACAACGCAACAUCAGAAUAAAAAACAAACAAAGGAAUUAACAAAUUCAAAAAUAAUUUUCUAGUACACACAUACAGUAGACGCAUAAGAUGAAAACAUAAAAGAUAAAAAUGAAAAACAGUGCAAAAUUUGAGAGAAUAGGGAAUAGGGAGGAAACUUAUCAAAGAACCAAUUCCCAAUAAACUUCUAUUCACCACGGGAAACCUUAAAAUUCUACCCUUACGCUUAAAGCAAUGUAGAGAAAGGAGUAGAUAUCAAAUGUUAAAACCACAAUGUCCUUGGGAGUAAAUCAAAUUAUUUUGAUACAAAACUAAAAAAAUGAGGAAUAGAAAACACAACAUCAAGCUUUUAAAAAAAAAAACAAAGAAAUCAAAGGAUUGAAAAUUAAUUCUCUACUACACACAAGCGGUCAACAAAUAACACUCAAACAUAAAAGAGAAUAAUGAAGAACAAUGCAAAAUGGAGGAGAAUAGGGAAUACGGAGGAAACUUACCUGACAAGUAUUUCCCUAUAAACUUCUCUUUACCUCGAGAAACUUGAAAAUUCUACCCUUAUAUUUAUAGAAGGUAGCGAAAAGUGUAGACAUCAAAUGUAAAAAUGAUAAUAAGAAAAUUAACUCUUAAGGCUCAAUAUGGUUGAAAGGAAAUCAAAUUCUACUGAUACAAAACUAAAGAAAUGAGGAAUAGACAAUGCAACAUCAAGAUAAAAAACAAACAAAGAAAUUAAUGGAUUCAAUGUUAAUUUUCUAGAACACACAUAUAGUAGACAUAUAACACAAAAACAUAAAAGAUAAAUAAGAAGAACAACCAAGAUUUGAGAGAAUAGGGAAUAUGGAGAAAACUUACCGAAUAACUAAUUCCCAAUAAACUUCUCUUGACUAGGGGAAACCUGAAAAUUCUACCCUUACGCCUAAAACAAGGUAGAGAAAGGAGUAGAGAUCAAAUUUUAAAACCACAAUGUACUUGAAAGUAAAUAAAAAUUUUUUGAUAAGAAACUAAAGAAAUAAGAAAUAGAAAACACAACAUAGAGCUAUAAAAAAAAAACAAUGAAAUCAAAGGAUGGAAAAUUCAUUAUCUACUAAAUACACGCAGUGAACAAAUAACACUCAAACAUAAAAGAGAAAAAUACAUAACAAUGCAAAAUGGUGGAGAAUAGGAAAUACGAAGAAAACUUACUCGACAAGUAUUUCCAAAUACUCUUUUCCUUGGGAAACCUAAAAAAUUCUACCCUUACGCUUAUAGAAUGUAGCGAAAAGAGUAGAGAUCAAAAGUAAAAAUGAGAAUAAGAAAAUUAAUUCUUAAGGUGCAAUAUAGUUGAAAGGAAAUCAAAUUAUGCAAAUACAAAACUAAAGAAAAGAGGAAUAGACAACGCAAGAUCAAAAUUAAAAACAACCAAAGAAAUUAACGGAUUCAAAUUAAUUUUCUAGUACACACAUAUAGUAGACAUAUAACAUGAAAACAUACAAAAUAAAUAUGAAAAACAGUGCAAAAUUUGAGAGAAUAAGGAAUACGGAGGAACCUUAUUCAAGAACUAAUUCCCAAUAAACUUUCCUUCACCACGGGAAACCUGAAAAUUCUACCCUUACGCUUAAAGCAAGGUACAGAAAGGAUUAGAGAUCAAAUGUUAAAAUCACAAUGUCCUUGAAAGUAAAUAAAAUUAUUUUGAUAAGAAACUAAAGAAAUGAGUAAUAGAAAACACAAUAUAGAGCUCUAAAAAAACACAAUGAAAUCAAAGGAUUGAAAAUUAAUUCUCUACUACAUACACGUAGUCAACAAAUAACACUCAAACAAAACAGAGAAGAAUGAAGAACAAUGCGAAAUGGGGGAGAAUAGGGGAUACGAAGAAAACUUACUCGACAAGUAUUUCCAAACAAACUACUCUUUUCCUCGGGAUACCUUAAAAUUCUACUUUCACGCUUACCUGACAAGUAUGGGUGUACUAGAAAAUUAAUUUUGAAUCCGUUAAUUUCUUUGUUUAUUUUUUAUCUUGAUCUUGCGUUGUCUAUUCCUCAUUUCAUUAGUUUUGUAUCUACAUAAUUUGAUUUUCUUUCAACGAUAUUGUGCCUUAAGAGUUAAUUUUCUUAUUCUCGUUUUUACAUUUGAUCUCUACUCCUUCCGCUACAUUCUAUAAGCGUAAAGGUAGAAUUUUCAGGUUUCCCGAGGAAAAGAGAAGUUUGUUUGGAAAUACUUGUCAGGUAAGUUUUCUUCGUAUCCCCUAUUCUCCUCCAUUUCGCAUUGUUCUUCAUUCUUCUCUUUUUUGUUUGAGUGUUAUUUGUUGACUUCGUGUAUGUAGUAGACAACGAAUUUUCAAUCCUUUGAUUUCAUUGUUUUUUUUUAUAACUCUAUGUUAUGUUUUCUAUUACUCAUUUAUUUAGUUUCUUAUCAAAAUAAUUUUAUUUACUUUCAAGGACAUUGUGGUUUUAACAUUUGAUCUCUAAUCCUUUCUGUACCUUGCUUUAAGCGUAAAGGUAGAAUUUUCAGGUUUCCCGUGGUGAAGGAAAAGUUUAUUGGGAAUUAGUUCUUGGAUAAGGUUCCUCCGUAUUCCCUAUUCUCUCAAAUUUUGCACUGUUCUUCAUAUUUAUCUUGUAUGUUUUCAUGUUAUAUGUCUAUUGUAUGUAUGUACUAUAAAAUUAAUUUUGAAUCUGAUAAUGUCUUUGUUUAUUUUUUAUUUUUAUGGUGCGUUGUCUAUUCCUCAUUUCUUUAGUUUCGUAUCAACAUAAUUUGAUUUCCUUUCAACGAUAUUGUGCAUUAAGAGUUAAUUUUCUUAUUCUCGUUUUUACAUUUGAUCUCUACUCGUUUCGCUACAUUCUAUAAGCAUAAGGGUAGAAUUUUCAGGUUUCCCGAGGAAAGGAGAAGUUUUCAAUCCUUUGAUUUUAUUAUUUUCUUUUAGAGCUAUAUGUUGUGUUUUUCUAUUACUCAUUUCUUUAGUUUCUUAUCAAAAUAAUUUUAUUUACCUUCAAGGACAUUGUGGUUUUAACAUUUGAUCUCUACUCCUUUCGCUACAUUCUAUAAGCGUAAGGGUAGAAUUUUCAAGUUUCCCGAGGAAAAGAGAAGUUUGUUUGGAAAUACUUGUCAGGUAAGUUUUCUCCGUAUCCCCUAUUCUCCUUCAUUUCGCAUUGUUCUUCAUUCUUCUCUUUUAUGUUUGAGUGUUAUUUGUUGAAUUCGUGUAUGUAGUAGAGAAUGGAUUUUCAAUCUUUUGAUUUCAUUGUUUUUUUUUAGAGCUCUAUGUUGUGUUUUCUAUUAUUCAUUUCUUUAGUUUCAUAUCAAAUUAAUUUUAUUUACUCUCAAGGAUAUUGAUGUUUUAACAUUUAUUCUCUACACAUUUCUCAACUUGCUUUAAGCGUAAGGGUAGAAUUUUCAGGUUUCCCGUAGUGAAGAGAAGUUUAUUGGGAAUUAGUUAUUGGAUAAGUUUCCUCCGUAUUCCCUAUUCUCUCAAAUUUUGCGUUGUUCUUCAUUUUUAUCUUGUCAGUUUCCUCCGUAUCCUCUAUUCUCCUCCAUCUGGCAUUGUUAUUCAUUCUUCUCUUUUAUGUUUGAGUGUUAUUUGUUGACCGCGUGUAUGUAGUAGAGAAAUAAUUUUCAAUUCUUUGAUUUCGUUUUUUUUUUUUUUAAAAGCUUGAUGUUGUGUUCUCUAUUGCUCAUUUCUUUAGUUUCGUAUCCGAAUAAUUUUAUUUACUUUCAAGGACACUGUGGUUUUAACAUUUGAUCUUUUCUCCUUUCUCUACCUUGCUUUAAGCAUAAGGGUAGAAUUUUCAGGUUUCGCGUGGUCAAGAGAAGUUUAUUGGGAAUUAAUUCUUCGAUAAGUUUCCUCCCUAUUCCUUAUUCUCUCAAAUUUUGCAUUGUUUUUCAUAUUUAUCUUUUAUGUUUUCGUGUUAUAUGUCUACUGUAUGUGUGUACUAGAAAAUUAAUUUAUGAAUCCGUUAAUUUCUUUGUUUGUUUUUUAUCUUGAUCUUGCGUUGUGUAUUCCUCAUUUCAUUAGUUUCGUAUCUACAUAAUUUAAUUUCCUUUAACCGAUAUUGUGCCUUAAGAGUUAAUUUUCUUAUUCUCGUUUUUACAUUUGUAAUCUACUCAUUUCGCUACCUUCUAUAAGCGUAAGGGUAGAAUUUUUAGGUUUCCCCAGGAAAAGAAAUGUUUGUUUGGAAAUACUUGUCAGGUAAGUUUUCUCUGUAUCCACUAUUCUCCUCCAUUUUGUAAUGUUCUUCAUUCUUCUCUUUUAUGUUUGAUUGUUAUUUGUUGAUUGCGUGUAUAUAGUAGAUAAUGAAUUUUCAAUCCUUUGAUUUCAUUGUUUUUUUUUUUAGAGCUCUAUGUUGUGGUUUUUAUUACUCAUUUCUUUAGUUUCUUAUCAAAAUAAUUUUAUUUACUUUCAAGGACAAUGUGGUUUUAACAUUUGAUUUCUACUCUUUUCUCUACCUUGUUUUAAGCGUAAGAGUAAAAUUUUUAGGUUUUCCGUGGUGAAGAUAAGUUUAUUGGGAAUUAGUUCUUGGAUAAGUUUCCUCCGUAUUCCCUAUUCUCUCAAAUUUUGCACGGUUCUUCAUAUUUAUCUUGUAUGUUUUCGUAUUAUAUGUCUACUGUAUGUGUGUGCUAGAAAAUUAAUUUUGAUUCUGUUAACUUCUUUGUUUGUUUUUUAUCUUAAUUUUGCGUUGCUUAUUCCUCAUUUCUUUAGUUUCAUAUCUGCAUAGUUUGAUUUUCUUUCAACCAAAGCCUUAAGAGUUAAUUUUCUUAUUCUUGUUUUUACAUUUGAUCUCUACCCCUUUUGCUUCCUUCUAUAAGCGUAAAGGUAGAAUUUUUAGGUUUCCCAAAGAAAAGAGAAGUUUAUUGGAAAAUACUUGUCAGAUAAGUUUCCUCGAUAUACACUAUUCUCCUUCAUUACGCAUUGUAAUUCAUUCUGCUCUUUUAUGUUUGAGUGUUAUUUGUUGACUACAUGUAUGUAGUAGAGAAUGAAUUUUCAAUCUUUUGAUUUCAUUGUUUUUUUUUAGCUUUAUGUUGAGUUUUCUAUUACUCAUUUCUUAAGUUUCUUAUCAAAAUAAUUUUAUUUACUCUUAAGAAAAUUGUGGUUUUAACAUUUGAUCUCUACUCCUUUCUCGACCUUCCUUUAAGCGUAACGGUAGAAUUUUCAGGUUUCCCGUGGUGAGGAGAAGCUUUUUGGGAAUUAGUUCUUGUAUAAGUUUCCUCUGUAUUCCCCUAUUCUCUCAAAUUUUGCAUUGUUCUUCAUAGUUAUCUUGUAUGUUUUCGUGUUAUAUGUCCACUGUAUAUGUGUACUAGAAAAUUAAUUUUGAAUCCGUUAAUUUCUUUGUUUGUUUUUUAUCUUGAUCUUGCGUUGUCUAUUCCUCAUUUCUUUAGUUUCGUAUCAGCAUAAUUUAAUUUCCUUUCAACGAUAUUGUGUCUUGAGAGUUAAUUUUCUUAUUCUCGUUUUUACAUUUGAUCUCUACGCCUUUCGUUACUUUCUAUAAGCGUAAGGGUAGAAUUUUCAAGUGUCCCGAGGAAAUGAGAAGUUUAUUUGGAAAUACUUGUCAGGUAAGUUUCCUCUGUAUCCCUUAUUCUCUUCCAUUUCGCAUUGUUCUUUAUUAUUCUCUUUUAUGUUUGAGUGUUAUUUUUUAAUCGCAUGUAUGUAGUAGAGAAUAAAUUUUCAAUCCUUUGAUUUCUUUGUUUUCUUUUUAAAAGCUUGUUGUUGUGUUUUCUUCCUCAUUUCUUUAGUUUCGUAUCAGAAUAAUUUGAUUUACUUUCAAGGACAUUGUGCUUUUCACAUUUGAUCUAUACACCUUUCUUUAAGCAUAAGGGUAGAAUUUUCAGGUUUCCCGAGGUCAAGAGAAGUUUAUUGAGAAUUAGUUCUUCGAUAAGUUUCCUCCAUAUUCCCUAUUCUCUCAAAUUAUGCAUUGUUCUUCAUAUUUAUCUUUUAUGUUUUCGUGUUAUAUGUCUAUUGUAUGUAUGUACUAGAAAAUUAAUUUUGAAUCCGUUAAUUUCUUUAUUUGUUUUUUAUCUCGAUGUUGCGUUGUCUAUUCCUCAUUUUUUUAGUUUCGUAUCAGCAUAAUUUAAUUUCAUUUCAACGAUAUUGUGUCUUGAGAGUUAAUUUUCUUAUUCUCGUUUUUACAUUUAAUCUCUACUCCUUUCGCUACUUUCUAUAAGUGUAAGGGUAGAAUUUUCAAGUGUCCCGAGGAAAAGAGAAGUUUAUUUGGAAAUACUUGUCAGGUAAGUUUCCUCCGUAUUCCCUAUUCUCUUCCAUUUCGCAUUGUUCUUUAUUAUUCUCUUUUAUGUUUGAGUGUUAUUUGUUGACCACAUAUAUGUAGUAGAGAAUUAAUAUUCAAUCCUUUGAUUUCUUUGUUUUUUUUUUUAAAAGCUUGAUGUUGUGUUUUCUAUUCCUCAUUUCUUUAGUUUCGUAUCAGAAUAAUUUUGAUUUACUUUCAAGGACAUUGUGGUUUUCAC